rnacentral:rRNA from 1 species
AGCAGUAGCCGCGGGAAUACAGAGGAUGCGAGCGUUAUCCGGAAUGAUUGGGCGUAAAGCGUCUGUAGGUGGCUUUUCAAGUCCGCCGUCAAAUCCCAGGGCUCAACCCUGGACAGGCGGUGGAAACUACCAAGCUGGAGUACGGUAGGGGCAGAGGGAAUUUCCGGUGGAGCAGUGAAAUGCGUUGAGAUCGGAAAGAACACCAACGGCGAAAGCACUCCGCUGGGCCAACACUGACACUGAGAGACGAAAGCUAGGGGAGCAAAUGGGAUUAGAUACCCGCGUAGUCCCUGUCUCUUAUAC